rnacentral:rRNA from 1 species
GUGGGGAAUAUUGCACAAUGGAGGAAACUCUGAUGCAGCGACGCCGCGUGAAGGAUGAAGUAUUUCGGUAUGUAAACUUCUAUCAGCAGGGAAGAAAAUGACGGUACCUGACUAAGAAGCCCCGGCUAACUACGUGCCAGCAGCCGCGGUAAUACGUAGGGGGCAAGCGUUAUCCGGAUUUACUGGGUGUAAAGGGAGCGUAGACGGACUGGCAAGUCUGAUGUGAAAGGCGGGGGCUCAACCCCUGGACUGCAUUGGAAACUGUUAGUCUUGAGUGCCGGAGAGGUAAGCGGAAUUCCUAGUGUAGCGGUGAAAUGCGUAGAUAUUAGGAGGAACACCAGUGGCGAAGGCGGCUUACUGGACGGUAACUGACGUUGAGGCUCGAAAGCGUGGGGAGCAAACAGGAUUAGAUACCCGAGUAGUCC